CAAAUACUGUAAAUAGAAAGGGUGUUGGAAGAAGAAUUUCUCUGGAAGAGUUGAGACACUAAAUAAAAAAGAAAAAAAAAUGAAGUGAUUUUUCUACCCAAACUAUAAUAUCCUUUUAAACCAGUGGUGAAAUGAAGACCAGAGAAAGAGAGAAAAGUCUAACAGGAAAGACAUGUCCUGUGCCAGUUCUUGUGACCCUCCCAUCCUCCUACAACACCAACAGAGCAACACAGGAACAAAACCAGAUGAGUGAACCAAGAGACACCAGUACAGGCAGCCCCCAGCUUAGCCGGGUUCAACUUACAACUUUUUUCCCCCCACUUACAAUGCAUGAAAGCAAUAGCAUUCAGUAGAAAACAUAUUUGGAAAUUAGAAUUUUGACCUUUUUCUGGGAUAGUGAGAAUCUAGCAGAUGACUAAAGGUGAAACAAAUUUCACCUCCCUUCCAAAACAAGGCUGCUUACCACAGCAAAACCUGCCCCAAUCAGCAGAAGAGACUAGAGUGCAUGCUGGUCCUAGCUAUGUUUUGGGGCAAGGCAAGUCCAUGGUCUUGGAAUGCCUGGGAACAAAAUCAGCUCUUGGCCUUAGUAGGAGCCUCAGUGAUGGAUGAUCAGCCAUUUAAAGAAUGCUCAACUGCUCUGAGCAUCUUGUAGAAGUAGACACCCAGACAGCAGGAAUAACACGGAAACUCAAGGAAAGGUGCAGGCUGUUAUGUCAGUCAGGCAGUUCCCAUCAAGAUCCUAAACCUUGAAAGUCCACUAAGAUAUGGGGUCUUCAGAAAGGCUCAAAGAGGCUAUUGCAAAACGCUAGACAUCAGCUCCAAAGUGACAACACCCUCAUCAGAAGGUCCACAACUAUCACACAAAAUUACCCACCACCCAAAGAGAAAGUGUUCAAUGACUCAGUUACCACCUGGUGAAAUUUACUGAAAUUGUUAAGGUUGUGUGAAUGUAUGUGUGUGUGUGUGUGUGUGUAGUCUCUGGUACAUGUGGCUUUUGUAAUCAGCAGAAUGUGGUUAAAACAGUGAACACAGGCAUGCCCAACUGUGCAUGGAUUUUAGGUAGCUGCCCUCUGCAGUGGGUUUUGAAUAUGUCUUGAACAGUGCUGGCUUAUUUUUAGGAUGUAGUGAAGCCUUUCCUUGAAGAAAUGCUGUCUCAGAAUAGAAGAAUUUACUUGAUUUUGUGUCCCCAAAUUGGAGGAUUAUGACCUAUCUUUUAAGUAAUAGUGCCUUUUGCUGGUACCAUUACUGAAGUCUCACACAAAGUCCUGCCACCUAGUCAGGAACUUCACUGUUCACAUCAUUUCCAUUUUUCAGGAAACGAAAAAAAAACGAAAUACCCAGAAUUCAAGUUAGCAAGCUCCCAGGGAUUCUGGACUGCACACCGUUGCAGGGAGAUAUGGUGGAGAAUGACGGUGUUUGCAGUUUGUUUUGCCGUCAUGUCAACAAGUGCAAGCAGCCUUUCCUCAACACACUUUUAAACAACUUUUGUGACUCAGAACCCAGGCACUCAGUCCUCUGGAGGAGGCAUCAGAGAAGGACGGCCCCUAACUCCCGGUGGGAAGGAUACUAUCAAGUACUAUUAACAACUGGCACAGGAGUGCAAUUCCAAGAAAUUGAUUUCUGGAUUCAGGUUUCUCAAUUAAAGAGGCAAAAACUAUCCUCAACUCUUGUAAGACUUUUUUUUUUUUUUUAAGCUCUCAAGCCAAAGUUUCUUAGAAACCCCUCAGAAGCAGAUGAGCUUCAUAAGGAAAGAGCUUGCCCCAGUGACUGGGGGUAACUAAGGUCGGGAGAAGGAGUUGAUGUUUUCCACCAAAGACCCAUGGAAGAAGAGUACAAGCCCCUAGGCUUUAAUCUGCACUCUUGUUCUUCAUUUUUCAAGCUAUGGUCUUGCCUGUCUUCCUUGUUUAAGGCAACUUUGACCUACAUUACACGUAAGGCCAGUUCUUGAUAUUCUCCUUCUCUCCUUAUUCACUCUUUUCUAUGGGCCCAAUAUCUACCUGUGAGCUGGCUGAAGGGUACAGCUAAACUGAUUGUUGAUUUUUCACAUCUUUUAAAGCUCCUUGGUUUCCUUAGUUUUGCUUUCUUAUAAUUUAUCAGUUGGCUUUAAGGGUCCAAAUGAUUAAUGGACUAACUAAUUAACCAUUAGUUGACUUUUUACCUGGCAAACAGCAUGAAAAGUAGAAACCUAAAACAACCUUACCUUGUCCUUCUAGGAAAGGAUUCAUAUCUCCAUUACAACAAUAUUGGAGACCUUUUGUGGAAUAGUUUAGUACCCUUGGAAAUACUGUAACAGAAACUACAGAAAAUGGAACACAAGGGGAGAUGUUAAAAUGAAAGGAAGAUCUGUGGGCUGUAAACUUCAAGUGACAUGAUAGAUAUUUAAUUGGAGGAGGGAGAGCACAGGUAAAACUACUUAAAGGAACAGUAGUCAAUCAUGAUGAAAACUGUAAACACACAGAACCAAGAAUCAUAACAACCCCCAAGAAAGAAAAUAUCGCCCAUACACACCAUCAUCAAAUUGCCGAAAUUUAAUGACAAAAAGAAAAUCUUAGAACCAGACAGAAAAAUAGAUGUGAUAGAACAGAACAGAAUGGCAGCCGACUUCUCACUGGAAAUGAUGAAAACAAUGAAACAGUGGCCAGCACCUUUAAAGUACCAAUAACUUAGAGGUCUACACCCAAUUAAAAAUGGCUUUCAAAACCACAACUGAACUAAAGACUUUUAAAACAUAUAAUUUAAAAUAAAUAAGUUUUAAACACAAAUCAUUCACCACUAGCAGACCUGUUGUAUAGGAAAAUGGAGAAAAUGGAGGGGGCCCUCCAAGGUGGGAGGAAGUUGAAAGUGGAUGGCAUCUGGAUCUGUACAAAAGAAUGAAGAGCACAGGGAAUGGAACAGCAUGGAUAAAUACACGGAGAUUUUUAUGAACAUCUUUUUACAAGAUAUUUAACUAAACAAAAAUCAUAAUGUAUUGUGGGGUUCACAACAUGAAAAAGUAAAAAUAUCUUAAAACAAUAGCAUAAAGUCAGGGAGGAGAUAAAUGGAAGUGUAUUACUCAUAAGUGUUUUAAAUAUGAUAUACGAAAUUGUAUAACAUUACUUGAAAAUAGAUGAAGAUAAAGAUGUUUACUAUAAACCCUAAAAUAACCAUUAAAAUAAUAUAAUAAAUAGCUAAAGAGUCAAUAAAAGAGAUAAAAUAGAGUCCUCAAAAAAGACUCAAUCCAAAAGUGAAUAUACUUUGUAUACAACUAGAGGUGUGAAAAAGUGUGCUCUAUAUGUGCAAUAUGAAUUGUAAUGCAUUCUGCUGUCAUAUGUAACAAAUUAGAAUAAAAAUAAAUUAAAAAAAGACUCAAUCCAAAAAAAGGUAGAAAAGGAGGAAAAGGGUAAUAAGAACAGAUGUUGCAAUAGGAAAAAAAAUGGAAAAAUGAGAAAUGAAACCCUAAUCAUGAAAUAAUUACAUUAAAUGUGAAUGGGUUAAUCACUUCAAUUAAAGGGCAGAGAUUGCCAAAUAUAAUGCAAAAGCAAGGCCCACUUAAAGUUGUCCACAAGAUACACACUCUAAACUUAAAGACACAAAUAGAUUCACUACAUAAGCAUGCAAAAGUUAAGUCUAGUCAAAAGAAAUUGAUAAAGGAAAUAAUUAGUCAAAUGUAAAAUGAUACAACUUUGGAAAACAUUUGGGCAGUUUCUUCAGAAGGUAAAUAUCAACUGCAUUAUCCAACUCAUAGAAAGCGUAUAUCCUUAUAAAGACUUGUAUGGAAAUAUUCAAUAUCAGUAUCAUUAAUAAAAGCCAGAACUGGAAACAAAUGUCUCUCAUGAUAUGAAUGGACCAAUAGUGGUGGUGCACCCACACAAUGGAAACCUUUUCAACAAUAAAGGGUCUGAAUUAUUGAUACAUGAAAUGUAAAUGAAUCUCAAACUAAUUUAUGCUUUUUGUUAAGAUAAUGGGUAAAAUAAAUGCAUAUUUAUGGGUCUAUUUAUGCAAAAUUCUAGAAUCUUUCAUACAGAAAUUCUAUUAGUGGUUGCCUUGGGUGGAGCGAAGGGGAGGAACAGGGGGCCAGGAUUCCCAAGGACCAUGAGGAAACAUUUGGGAAUGACUAUGGUGUUGGUUUCAUGGGUACAUACGAAGGUAAAAAUUAGAAGAUUAUCCCUUUUAAAUCUGUGCAGUUUAUUGCAUGUCAAGUUUAUCCCAAUAAAACUGACACAAGUAAGCUAUGUUACAAGGAUUGAAAGUAGAGAAUUUUUAUUUCAGGGUUCUUAAACCUAACCGAGUCACCAAACUGAAAGACGCACUUUAAACCAGACUUCAAAAUCUCAGUAGACAUCCUGCGUCUGCCUGUCUCACUCUGAGAUGCUCGAAGGAUGGGUAAGUGUGAUACCUCCCUUACCCCGCAAAGCAACUGCUCUGCUGUACAGAAAUAAAAACAACGGGCUGACCUGGCGAUCCUCUGGGCAGCGGUCAGUGGACAAUACCUCAACACGAAAGAACAGCACACAGGUCUUAAACAGGAGCAUUACCAGCUGGCAAAGGGACUCAAGGCUGUGCCCUUACCUGAGAGAAGUCAGGUGUGGAGGGAAACGUCCAGUUUUUGUAAAGAAUUGGUUACAUGAUCCAAUGUUUUACAUGAAUUUAUGAGCAUGUGCCAUGAUUAUAGAGCCUGUGGAAAGACUGUGAACUGAACUGUGGCAGUUGGUGACACUGGUUCUCUGGGGGAAAUGCAGUACAUUGUAAGGUAGGCCAGUGGGAGGUCAGAUAAAAAGGAGGAGGGAACCAGCGAAACUCAUGAGAACAAGCAAGCAGACAAAACCACCUACUUCAAGGCAGAGUGUCCAUAAUCAGUGAAGUAAGAACCUGAAAGCAUUAAUGGCAGUAAUGCCAAGUGUCCUUACAUUUUCUUGAAUCAGCAAAAAAGGUAUUUUUUAUUUUUUCACACUUUGUCACCAAAGUAUUUGACCUCACAGGUGUAAUGCUUGCUAACUCUAAUAACUCUCAUGGAGUGAAUAGUAAAGUUUGGAAUAAUUAGGUCUCUUUAAUACGGAUCUUUUGUUUUCUCCUACAAGCAGCCAUAACUUUUGCUUUAUCA
rnacentral:lncRNA from 1 species